rnacentral:misc_RNA from 1 species
AACGCACAUUGCGCCCUUUGGCACUCCGAAGGGCACGCCUGUUCGAGCGUCAUUUCACCAAUCAAGCCUGGCUUGGUAUUGGGUGCCGCGGCGUCCGCGCCCCCUAAAGUUCUGUCGGCUCUGCCGUCUCGCUCCAUAGCGUCGUAGCAUUUUGUUUCGCUGUUGGGGUGAGGGCGGCUGACGCCGUUAAAUGCUUUUAUUGAGGUUGACCUCGGAUCAGGUGGGGAUACCCGCUGAACUUAA